rnacentral:rRNA from 1 species
UACAGAGGGUGCGAGCGUUAAUCGGAAUUACUGGGCGUAAAGCGUGCGUAGACGGUAGCGUAAGUCAGAUGUGAAACCUCCAGGCUCAACCUGGAGACGCCACUCGAUACUGGCGUGACUAGAGUUCGGUAGGGGAUCACGGAAUUCCUGGUGUAGCGGUGAAAUGCGCAGAUAUCAGGAGGAACACCGGUGGCGAAGGCGGUGAUCUGGGCCGACACUGACGCUGUAGAGCGAAAGCGUGGGGAGCGAACAGG